rnacentral:rRNA from 1 species
AUGGAUCCACGGCCGAUCUUCGAUUUCGACCUGAACGAGAUGCCGCCUCCAGACGAUGGCUUCACCUUCACGGUCGAUGCCAAGACGGCCCGUGAACCCUCGCCGUCGCCUCUGGCCGACGGCGUCACGGAGGGUGCCUUGAUGGCGCGUGAACCCUCGCCGCCGCCUCGGGGCGACGCCUCAGCGGCGCGUGAACCCUCGCCGCCGCCUCCGGGCGACGUCUCAGCGGCGCGUGAACCCUCGCCGCCUCCUCCGCCGCAAGACGACGGCAUGGGUGAUGAUGCCACGCCCGAGAUGUUAGACCUGGACGACUCAGUUUCUCUCGUGUGCGAUGACGACGAUGAGGAGGAGGAGGGUGAGAUCGGAUCGGAGCCGCCGUCGCCCUGUGAGUCCGACGCCGCGCGCUCGUCCUCGCCAACACGCUCGCCCUCGCCGGCGAAGAUGGAGAGAAGCUGCUCUCCCUCUUAUCCUACCGAGGUGUCCGUCGCUGGACCCACCGCGCAGGCGUGCAGUCAGGCCGUCGUCGACAGGCCGACGGCGCGCCUAUCGUCUUGCGUGGUCGUGAAUGGCGCCGCCCCGUUCUCUCCGAGCGUGGAAACGAACCCGCCGCCUCCGACUCUUCCGUCGCCGUCGCCGUCAGGGUCAUCGCCAUCGCGCGCUCACGCCAAGGCGACAAGCGACACGUCGUCGUCAGACCUGUCACGGCGCCUGAAGCGGCCCUUCGUGCGCCGUGACGAGGCUGCCUCCAACCAUCCCGGCAACUACGACGUGGCCUCGCACGGAGAGAGGCGCCGCACUCCACCCGCUUACCCGCCGCGCCGCGACGAGGGGACCCGGAGAAGCUAUGGGCCAGCAAUGCGCGGUCGGCAAGCGCCUCGAAGGUAUGAGCCGUACAAUGAUCAAGAUCAGAAGGCAAUGCGCCAUCAGCAACCGCCUCGAAGGUAUGAGCCGUACAAUGAUCAUGAUCAGACGGCAAUGCGCCAUCAGCAAGCCCCUAGAAGAUACGAGCCGUACAAUGAUCAUGAUCAGAAUGCAAUGCGCGAUCAGCAAGCGCCUCGAAGGUACAAACCGUACAAUGAACAAGAUCAGAGGCGACAGGGUUACCAUGGCGACGAAAGGCAGCAGGAUUAUCGAGCUCAACGUGGCUACGGGACGCCAAAUUUUCCGACGCAACAGGGUAAUUCUUAUCCUUCAAAGCAGUUCGGCGGACCACGGCGCAGGGAGGAUGGCUCGUACGGCGGCCGGCGUGUUCCGGCGGAAGAAGUUCAGAACGGCGGGUAUCUUCAGUACAGAGAGCAGCCUCGUGUACACUUUCGUCCUCCUGCAGCUCAGCCUUACUAUCAGCAGAGGGAGCCGCCUCGUGUGCAGUUUCCUUCUCCUGCGGCCGUCGAGGAUGCACUUGCUCUCCGCCCGGAAGUCGACCGGGAAUUUGGACCUGUGCAGAAGAAGCAGAAGAGGGACGAUUGGCCCCAAGACGACUGCCUGCCUCUGAAGAAGCAGUGGACCAAGAAGCACCAAGCCCUGGACAUGGACUCCACGCUGAAGAACUGGAUCCCUAAGGCCCGGCGAACCCGGGAAAACUGGUGCGAGUACCACCACAGCGGCAACCACGGCGCAGCCCAGUGCCGUCGACUGAAGCAGCUGAAGCAAAUCAUCCAGAGGGAGCUGGCGGACGCGAGCAAGGACGACGACCCACCCAAGGCGCUGCUCCAGGAGAUUAUACAGAUUGAGGCCGACGGCUCGAAUUCCGACUCCAGGUAG